AGCAGCCGCGGUAAAUUCCAGCUCCAAUAGCGUAUAUUAAAGUUGUUGCAGUUAAAAAGCUCGUAGUUGAAUUUCGGGAUCAAUAUGUUGGUCGUGCCUUGGUACGUACUAAUUUAUUGGUUUCUUCCUUCUGACGAACUAUGAUGUCAUUAAUUUGGUGUCUUGGGGAAUCAGGACUGUUACUUUGAAAAAAUUGAGUGUUUAAAGCAGGCUCACGCUUGAAUACAUUAGCAUGGAAUAAUGAAAUAGGACGUUUGAUUCUAUUUUGUUGGUUUCUAGGAUCGACGUAAUGAUUAAUAGGGAUAGUUGGGGGCAUUAGUAUUCAAUUGUCAGAGGUGAAAUUCUUGGAUUUAUUGAAGUACUAACUACUGCGAAAGCAUUUGCCAAGGUAUGUUUUACA
rnacentral:rRNA from 1 species